rnacentral:rRNA from 1 species
ACGGGGUGCAGCAGGCGCGAAAACUUUACAAUGCGGGAAACCGUGAUAAGGGAACUCCGAGUGUCCGUAAAUGCGGACUGUCCGUAUGUCUAAAAAGCAUGCGAAGAAAGGGCCGGGCAAGACCGGUGCCAGCCGCCGCGGUAACACCGGCGGCUCGAGUGGUAACCGUUAUUAUUGGGUCUAAAGGGUCUGUAGCCGGCCGGAUAAGUCUCUUGGGAAAUCCAGCAGCUCAACUGUUGGGCUUUCAGGAGAUACUAUCUGGCUCGAGGCCGGGAGAGGUGAGAGGUACUUCAGGGGUAGGGGUGAAAUCUUGUAAUCCUUGAAGGACCACCAGUGGCGAAGGCGUCUCACCAGAACGGACCUGACGGCAAGGGACGAAAGCUAGGGGCACGAACCGGAUUAGAUACCCGGGUAGUCCUAGCCGUAAACGAUACUCGCUAGGUGUCGGCCACGGUGCGACCGUUGUCGGUGCCGUAGGGAAGCCGUGAAGCGAGCCACCUGGGAAGUACGGCCGCAAGGCUGAAACUUAAAGGAAUUGGCGGGGGAGCACCACAACGGGUGGAGCUUGCGGUUUAAUUGGAUUCAACGCCGGAAAUCUUACCGGGACCGACAGCAAUAUGAAGGCCAGGCUGAAGACUUUGCCGGAUUAGCUGAGAGGUGGUGCAUGG